GCCCUUGUCGGUUAGUGGCAAACCAGCGGUUUUGUAAUCCGCGACCGGGUGUUCGAUUCACCCUAGGGGCACCA
rnacentral:tRNA from 1 species